AAUUUGAAAUCUGGCCCCCCCGGGGUCCGAGUUGUAAUUUGCAGAGGGUGCUUCGGGCGAGGGCGCGGUAUAAGUCCAUUGGAACAUGGCGUCGGAGAGGGUGAGAAUCCCGUAUGCGACCGCGCGCCGAGCCCAUGUGAAGCCUCUUCGACGAGUCGAGUUGUUUGGGAAUGCAGCUCAAAAUGGGUGGUAUAUUUCAUCUAAGGCUAAAUACCGGCUGGAGACCGAUAGCGCACAAGUAGAGUGAUCGAAAGAUGAAAAGCACUUUGGAAAGAGAGUCAAACAGUACGUGAAAUUGUUGAAAGGGAAGCGCGUGCAACCAGACCUGCCCGGGGGCGAUCAGCCGCUGUUCUCAGCGGUGCACUCGCCCCGCGAUCAGGCCAGCAUCGGUUCCGGCGGUCGGACAAAGGGCCGGGGAAUGUAGCUCCCCUCGGGGAGUCUUAUAGCCCCGGGUGCAAUGCGGCCAGCCGGGACCGAGGACCGCGCUUCGGCUAGGAUGCUGGCGUAAUGGUUGCAAGCGACCC
rnacentral:rRNA from 1 species